GCCGGCGUGGCAGAGCGGUUAAAUGCGGCGGUCUCGAAAACCGUUGCCUUCACAGGCACACAGGUUCGAAUCCUGUCGCCGGCG
rnacentral:tRNA from 1 species